AUUGAACGCUGGCGGCAGGCCUAACACAUGCAAGUCGGGCGGAUGACGGGAGCUUGCUCCUUGAUUCAGCGGCGGACGGGUGAGUAAUGCCUAGGAAUCUGCCUGGUAGUGGGGGACAACGUUUCGAAAGGAACGCUAAUACCGCAUACGUCCUACGGGAGAAAGCAGGGGACCUUCGGGCCUUGCGCUAUCAGAUGAGCCUAGGUCGGAUUAGCUAGUAGGUGAGGUAAUGGCUCACCUAGGCGACGAUCCGUAACUGGUCUGAGAGGAUGAUCAGUCACACUGGAACUGAGACACGGUACAGACUCCUACGGGGGGCAGCAGUGGGGAAUAUUGGACAAUGGGCGAAAGCCUGAUCCAGCCAUGCCGCGUGUGUGAAGAAGGUCUUCGGAUUGUAAAGCACUUUAAGUUGGGAGGAAGGGCAGUAAGUUAAUACCUUGCUGUUUUGACGUUACCGACAGAAUAAGCACCGGCUAACUCUGUGCCAGCAGCCGCAGUAA
rnacentral:rRNA from 1 species